UGUCCUAAUUACCGUAAUAAACCCACCUUCUUCCUCAACUCUUCUUCUAACAAUCACUCAUUUUCUCUAUCUUUUUCCUCCAAUCUUAAAACUUCACACUCUUUCCCUCACUUUCAAGAAUGGAAACAAUAAUUUGCUUACAAAUUCUCCCAAAUCAAAGUAAAUUUUUUUCUAAAGAUUACACUGUACAGUCGACGACAGUCCCCGUCCACAACCUCUCACCCGACCACCCUUCUCUCCGCUAUCCAGAAGUGCGCGCCGCCGCGCUCUCCGUACGGUCGGAAACCUCCGUACUGUUGCAGUAGCGAGAUUGUGGUGAUGGAAAACAAAUGAGGAAAAAAUGGUGGUGAUGAUGAAAAGAAACUAGAAAGUUGGUAUUGUGUGAAAAGAAGUGCCGUAUUUAACUAUAAAUCAAAGAGAAAGAACAGCAUACAGUUCAUUAUAAACUAUUAGAUCUUCAAAAACUACCCAAACAGUUACAAUUGAUGAAGAAAAGAAAAUUAAGAAUACUGGAAUUUACUUAUCACGCGCCGAAACAAAGAAGCCGGUGGCCGUGUAAUCUGCUGAGACGGGCCGAGCGUACGUCUGAGGUGUUUUAGCCAUGUCAAGAGCAAUCGGCGAUGAUUCCGCAUGUGAUAUCGGAACCGGAGGUCAAAAUGACGGAACGGUCCGACGAGGAUGAGUGUCUUUUUAUGCUCUGUGAACUCUUCUUUUGAUAAUUCUAAUGAAUUAUUGAGAGCAUUGUUAAAUCCGUUUGCAUUUUCUCUCGGCCCCCUCACUCGGACGACCGGAUAUAUACAAUCAGGGGCUCAAAAAUUUUUCUACAGUUUCGAGAUGAGAGAUAAGUGGAUUUAAUUUCUUAUUUAAAUCAUAAGUAUCAUUAUUCUUAAAAAAUUAAUUGAUGCUCUUGGUUUUAAUUCAAUUUGCUGGUUGUGAAUUUAAUUUCUUAUUUAAAUCAUCAGUAUCAUUAUUCUUAAAAAUUAGAUAUCUAAGAAUAUGACUUAUAUUUAAUAGUUUAGCUAAAUUGUAUGUAUUUUGUUUUUUUAGACACCAUCAUCGGAUUUGGUUGUGCCUCUACAACAUCUCGUAGUUUUUGUUGUUGCAUUCGGCUUGUUUGCUUUCGCUGACGGUUGAUGAUAGACGUUAAUAUCUGCAGACGUUUGUUUGUACUGAUUCAACCUUAUCCACUGUGCUCUUUGCAGUUCUGCUCUUCAACAAGUUUAGCAAACCUCUUGACAACUGAAGCCAUGUAUUUACCUUGAUGUUCAGCAAGAGCCAACUCUGUGUCGGUUGGUUGCCGGGAUCCAUCGCCGGAGAAGAUUCCGGCGCCAUAAGGAGAGCCCCCUCUAAUGGAAUCCAUUGUGAACAUUUCUGAUCCAAAAGUGUAACCAAUUGGAACAUAUAGCAUGCCAUGGUGAGCUAGCUGAGUCACUGCUGUGCAUCUGCAAUUCAAAUCAAAUAAACUAGUCUCAACCAGUUCUUCACUUGCAUACACCAAAUCAAAGCUAUUCAAUACAUUUCUGUUCCAUUGGAUCAUUGGUAACAAAUCCAAACUGCAAAAGCUUCAUGGUGUAAACUUCAAAAUUAAUGAUACCAAGCUUAAACAACCUCAAAAAAUGUCUUAAAAGAUAGAUUUAAGGGCUGAAAGCCGUUUUUUACGGGGGCGGAACUACCAUUAGGCUAGGGUAGGCUAAAGUCCUGGCUGGGAUCGCAAUUUUUUUAAAAAAACAACUUCAAGGUUAGAGGGAGGCUAAGCCCGGACUGUCGGAAAAUCAUAGUACUCACAAAAAACCCGGCAGGCAAUCCAGCAAGCUUCUGAUCCCUCCACAAUUCAUCAGUAGAAUCAAAAAACGCCUUCAUUUGAGCAGCCAUACAACCAAAUCUUGCAGGAAAUCCGAACAAAAACCCGUCACAGUUCACCAACUCACUAACUGAAGACAUCACAGGGAUCUCAUUUCCCUUACGAUUCGCCUUCAUUUGCACCAAAAUCUCGUUCGACAGGGUCUCAGGAACUCUGUACAAAAAUCCCUCAACCCCUUCAACAGAAUCCACACCUUUUUUCAUUCUUCUAGCUAAUAACUCCACAUGACCAUACAUUGAAUAAAAUAUUAUGAAGAUUUUUCGGCUUUUUAGUACCGGGAUUGGUGUGUUUAUGAUGUUGGUUUGGGGAUCUUGAUCAGAAACUGGAAUUUUUUGCUUACUUGAUACACACCCACCACCUUUACCCAUGUCAAAUUUUGUAUUUGGUUAUUUAAAAAAAUUGAAUCUUGAUCAAGAAUUGUUGGUUUUUGUAUGGUUCUUGAAAUUUUGAACUGUGAUCAAGAACAAAUGACAAGUAUUAUCAAGAAGUGGAUAGAAAUGAAAAUCUACCUGAGUUCUGAUGCUGUUGACUUA